GAGUUUGAUCAUGGCUCAGAUUGAACGCUGGCGGCAGGCUUAACACAUGCAAGUCGAACGGUAGCAGGAGGAAGCUUGCUUUCUUGCUGACGAGUGGCGGACGGGUGAGUAAUGCUUGGGAAUCUGGCUUAUGGAGGGGGAUAACUACGGGAAACUGUAGCUAAUACCGCGUAGUGUCGAGAGACGAAAGUGCGGGACCGCAAGGCCGCAUGCCAUGAGAUGAGCCCAAGUGGGAUUAGGUAGUUGGUGGGGUAAAGGCCUACCAAGCCUGCGAUCUCUAGCUGGUCUGAGAGGAUGGCCAGCCACACUGGAACUGAGACACGGUCCAGACUCCUACGGGAGGCAGCAGUGGGGAAUAUUGCGCAAUGGGGGGAACCCUGACGCAGCCAUGCCGCGUGAAUGAAGAAGGCCUUCGGGUUGUAAAGUUCUUUCGGUAUUGAGGAAGGAGUGUAUGUUAAUAGCAUACAUUAUUGACGUUAAAUACAGAAGAAGCACCGGCUAACUCCGUGCCAGCAGCCGCGGUAAUACGGAGGGUGCGAGCGUUAAUCGGAAUAACUGGGCGUAAAGGGCACGCAGGCGGUUAUUUAAGUGAGGUGUGAAAGCCCCGGGCUUAACCUGGGAAUUGCAUUUCAGACUGGGUAACUAGAGUACUUUAGGGAGGGGUAGAAUUCCACGUGUAGCGGUGAAAUGCGUAGAGAUGUGGAGGAAUACCGAAGGCGAAGGCAGCCCCUUGGGAAUGUACUGACGCUCAUGUGCGAAAGCGUGGGGAGCAAACAGGAUUAGAUACCCUGGUAGUCCACGCUGUAAACGCUGUCGAUUUGGGGAUUGGGCUUAAAGCUUGGUGCCCGUAGCUAACGUGAUAAAUCGACCGCCUGGGGAGUACGGCCGCAAGGUUAAAAACUCAAAUGAAUUGACGGGGGCCCGCACAAGCGGUGGAGCAUGUGGUUUAAUUCGAUGCAACGCGAAGAACCUUACCUACUCUUGACAUCCAGAGAACUUUCCAGAGAUGGAUUGGUGCCUUCGGGAACUCUGAGACAGGUGCUGCAUGGCUGUCGUCAGCUCGUGUUGUGAAAUGUUGGGUUAAGUCCCGCAACGAGCGCAACCCUUAUCCUUUGUUGCCAGCGAUUUGGUCGGGAACUCAAAGGAGACUGCCAGUGAUAAACUGGAGGAAGGUGGGGAUGACGUCAAGUCAUCAUGGCCCUUACGAGUAGGGCUACGCACGUGCUACGAUGGCGUAUACAGAGGGUGGCGAAAACUGCGAGGUGGAGCGAAAUCUCAGAAAAGUACGUCUAAGUCCGGAUUGGAGUCUGCAACACGACUCCGUGAAAGUCGGAAAUCGCUAGUAAUCGCGAAUCGGAAAUGUCGCGGUAAAUACGUUUCCCGGGCCAUGUA
rnacentral:rRNA from 1 species